UCACUUACAAACGGCUCCCAGCUGAUUCUGGUGAGUGCUUUCCCAAAGGAUAUUGAAAGCUCUGUAUAAAAGAAGCUCCCACUCCCUAGCUUCUGCUGGUGUUUGGAGAAUGAUGAGUGCUCAGGAAAAGGGCUUCAAGCUGUGUAAGUUAGGGCUUCAUGUUGUUUGAGACCCUUUGGGAGUCUUUAUUUUGUUUACAACGUGUCAGUAGAACAAAAUGUGUGAAGGCCUAAUCUUGAAUGCUUACAAAGGAAGAGACAACCUUCUCCUGCACUUUCCUUCCAAUGGAGUGGCUAACUCUUUAAACACCACAGGGCAUGAGUGUCCAAGCUUGUGACUUGCCUGGGCCACACUGAGAAAAGAGGAAUUGUCUUGUGCUGUAUAUACAUAUGUUGCUCCAAAGCAACAACAGUUUCCAGGGGUAUCUUCAGGAGCUUCAGAUAUGUAGAUGGAACAGACUGUCAAAGCUAAAUUCUCAUGUGUGGACAUUCUGAAAACAGGAAUCAUUUCUGAGAACAACGAGGUCAAAUUAGUUAGCAGCACAACUGAGGUGCUGAUAGCACAUUUUGCACGUUUUUGCCAGGAAAGUAAGUGUCUAAUUCUGGUGGAAGGCAAUUGUGUGCCUGAGGUACAGCAGUCACACAUGAGGAGAUUCGAUGGUCCAGUUAAACGAGCACCCUGAGGCUGGCAGUGCUCAUGUUUUUGUGCUUUAUGUAUAUAUAUAUACAUAAAACAGUGUAGCUAUGAAGCCACAGAGAGCACCUUUGGCAUUCCUUAUGUAUCUGCCAAGUUCAGUUUCAGAAAACUGGACUAGAAUUUCAAUGUUUUUUUUUUCUUCUCCAAGUCCAAACAACAACAUCCAUAUGCUUCACAUUUAAUAAACACUUAAUGAACAUUUAAUAAACGACAGCUGCCAUUUGAACCAACUGCUAGCACAUUUGAGUAAAAAAGAAUUACCCAGAAGAGACAGAAAAGAAGUAAAUAUAGAUUUUUCAGUUUCAAGGCACAUCUAGAAUGUUUGAAAAGUAUUUUUACUUAUCCUUAUACGUACAUAUUCUUCAUUACCACUUCUAGGCCAGGAACCCAGUUAAUUAGAGUUUAUGAUACAAGUAUUCAUUUCAAAGUUUGGCUUCACCUGCUGUUUAUUUUUGUUUUCACCAGCAAAACAGGAAAUGUGACAGAAUGUGCAAACAAGUUUGACAGAAGUCAACUUUUAUUUGUAUCUCAAGCCAAAAAUUCACAUAUAAAUUCUUUGCAAAGGGUAGAUAGGAGGAAA